UGACCAAUCAAGCCUGGCUUGGUGUUGGGGUUCGCGGUCUCGCGGCUCUUAAAAUCAGUGGCGGUGCCGCCUGGCUCUAAGCGUAGUAACUUUCUCGCUAUUGGGUCUGGUGGUUGCUUGCCAAAAAUCAAUCUCAC
rnacentral:misc_RNA from 1 species